UUUUAAUUCUAGAAUUUUCAUAUUCACUCCCUCAUUUUACAAGCCCAGUGCGCAAGUGACCUUCAGGUUUCAUCACGCUGCUGACCCACCAGUGGAGCCCAUGGGGCAUGGGCUCAUAUUCUCCCUGCGAUACACCGUACACGUGUACGUCGCUUUUCUCCAAUUUCUUCCACAUUCCAGAGAGCUCUUCGGUCCCUUUCUUCAUGAAAACUCAAGAACUCACCAUAUAGUACAGAACCUUCAAGAUCCAUCACAACACAGUCAAGAAUCCACCCUAUAAAUACCUCCUUCCUUUAUCCAUUCAAAUCGCAGAGCUAACCCAUUUCAAGCUAAGAAAUACCAUAAGUAUUCACCGAGUAAUCUUGUUCUUCUUCCAAUUCACAUCUCAAAACCAAGAAAAGAAAAAUGUCUCUUAUUCCAAGCAGCUUCUUCGGUGGCCGGAGAACCAACAUCUUCGAUCCCUUCUCUCUCGACGUCUGGGAUCCUUUCCACGACUUCCCAUUCCCAAGCACAGCUGUAUCAGCUCCUCGCUCUGAGUUGGCAAGCGAAACUUCGGCUUUUGCCAACACACGCAUGGACUGGAAGGAGACCCCUGAGGCUCACGUUUUCAAGGCUGAUCUUCCAGGAUUAAAGAAAGAGGAAGUGAAGGUGGAGAUAGAAGAAGGCAGGGUUUUGCAGAUAAGUGGAGAGAGAAGCAAAGAGAAGGAAGAGAAGAACGACAAGUGGCAUAGAGUUGAGAGAUCAAGUGGGAGAUUUUUGAGGAGGUUCAGGCUGCCAGAGAAUGCGAAAGUUGAUCAGGUUAAGGCAAGCAUGGAGAAUGGAGUCUUGACAGUGACUGUGCCCAAAGAGGAGGUCAAGCAACCAGAUGUCAAGGCCAUUGAGAUCUCCGGUUGAGUGAAAUGCUACGCAAACUCGAUCUUUGGUGUGUUAUACAGUUUGCCGAAUAAAUAAGUAGAUGUGUGUAAUCUGCAAUGUAAUGGGGUUUUAUGGGCUUGUUUGAAUGGAGUUCAGCUUUUAAUGUACUACUGCACGAGUUUUCUUUGUUAAUAAAGAUUUAAGCUUCUGGUU
rnacentral:misc_RNA from 1 species